rnacentral:rRNA from 1 species
AUAUCAGUAAGCGGAGGAAAAGAAACUAACUAGGAUUGCCUUAGUAGCGGCGAGUGAAGAGGCAUCAGCUCAAAGUGUAAAUCUGUGCAAACAGAAUUGUAAUCUAUAGAAAUUCACAGAAAGAUUAUUUCUCGCAUAAUUCCAUGGAACUGGAUAGCAUAGAGGGUGAUACUCCCGUGUUUGGCGAAGAAAUAACUGUAUGUGUGUUUUCAAUGAGUCGGGUUGCUUGGGAAUGCAGCCCUAAAAGGGAGAUAAACUUCUUCUAAAGCUAAAUAUUUAUGGGAGACCGAUAGCGCACAAGUA